rnacentral:rRNA from 1 species
AUUCUUGGACGAAGGGGGAAACCCUGAUCCAGCAAUGCCGCGUGCACGAGUAACGCCUUCCGGUUUUAAACCCCUUUUUUACGCCACGCUAAGCCUUGGUCUAAUACCCGUAGAUCAUGACGAUCACGUAAGAAAAAGCACCUGCGAACUACGUCCCAGCGGCCGACGUAAUACGUAGGGUGCAAGCGUUAAUCGGAAUUACUGGGGGUAAAGCGUGCGCAGGCGGUUUUGUAAGACAGUGGUGAAAUCCCCGGGCUCAACCUGGGAACUGCCAUUGUGACUGCAAGGCUGGAGUGCGGCAGAGGGGGAUGGAAUUCGGCGUGUAGCAGUGAAAUGCGUAGAUAUGCAGAGGAACACCGAUGGCGAAGGCAAUCCCAUGGGCCUGCACUGACGCUCAUGCACGAAAGCGUGGGGAGCAAACAGG